AUUCUACUCCCACGGUUGCACAAUACAUGCCUUCUAUUUGUCAAAAUAUAUAUGUAUCUAGACAUGUUUUAGUAUAUAGGUACAUCCAUUUUUGGACAAAUGGAAGUCAAGUAUUUUGGAAUGGAGGGAGUACAUA
rnacentral:pre_miRNA from 1 species